UACGGAGGGAGCUAGCGUUGUUCGGAAUUACUGGGCGUAAAGCGCACGUAGGCGGCUAUUCAAGUCGGGGGUGAAAGCCCGGGGCUCAACCCCGGAACUGCCCUCGAAACUAGAUAGCUAGAAUCUUGGAGAGGCGAGUGGAGUUCCGAGUGUAGAGGUGAAAUUCGUAGAUAUUCGGAAGAACACCAGUGGCGAAGGCGACUCGCUGGACAAGUAUUGACGCUGAGGUGCGAAAGCGUGGGGAGCAAACAGG
rnacentral:rRNA from 1 species